UACAGAGGGUGCGAGCGUUAAUCGGAAUUACUGGGCGUAAAGCGUGCGUAGACGGUUAUCUAAGUCGGAUGUGAAAGCCCCGGGCUCAACCUGGGAAUUGCAUUCGAGACUGAAUAGCUAGGGUGCGGUAGAGGGAAGCGGAAUUUCCGGUGUAGCGGUGAAAUGCGUAGAUAUCAGGAGGAACACCUGUGGUGUAGACGGCUUUCUGGACCAUAGCUGACGCUGAGACACGAAAGCGUGGGUAGCAAACAGG
rnacentral:rRNA from 1 species